rnacentral:rRNA from 1 species
UGGGAACGUGCCCUUUGGUUCGGGACAACUCCGGGAAACUGGAGCUAAUACCGGAUACGCCCUUCGGGGGAAAGAUUUAUUGCCAAAGGAUCGGCCCGCGUCUGAUUAGCUAGUUGGUAGGGUAAUGGCCUACCAAGGCUACGAUCAGUAGCUGGUCUGAGAGGAUGAUCAGCCACAUUGGGACUGAGACACGGCCCAAACUCCUACGGGAGGCAG